CCUACGGGAGGCAGCAGUGGGGAAUAUUGCACAAUGGGGGAAACCCUGAUGCAGCGACGCCGCGUGAGUGAAGAAGUACUUCGGUAUGUAAAGCUCUAUCAGCAGGGAAGAAAAUGACGGUACCUGAGUAAGAAGCCCCGGCUAACUACGUGCCAGCAGCCGCGGUAAUACGUCGGGGGCAGGCGUUAUCCGGAUUUACUGGGGGUAAAGGGAGCGUAGACGGCAGUGCAAGUCAGGAGUGAAAACACCGGGCUCAACCUGGAGACUGCCGUUGAUACUGGGUGUCUUGAGUGAAGGAGAGGAAUGUGGAAUUCCUAGUGUAGCGGUGAAAUGCGUAGAUAUUAGGAGGAACGCCAGUGGCGAAGGCGACUUUCUGGACUGUAACUGACGUUGAGGCGCGAAAGCGUGGGUAGCGAACGGGAUUAGAUACCCUAGUAGUC
rnacentral:rRNA from 1 species